UGGAGUAUAGCCAAGUGGUAAGGCAUCGGUUUUUGAUACCGGCAUGCAAAGGUUCGAAUCCUUUUACUCCAG
rnacentral:tRNA from 1 species